rnacentral:rRNA from 1 species
UACAUGUGGGGCAAGCGUUGUUCGGAAUUACUGGGCAUAAAGGGUGCGUAGGUGGUUUGUUAAGUCACUGGUGAAAGUUUGCGGCCCAACCGUAAAAUUGCCUGUGAUACUGGCGAACUUGAGUGCGUGAGGGAUGGGGGGAACGAGCAGUGUAGCGGUGAAAUGCGUAGAUAUUGCUCGGAAGGCCGGAGCCGAAGGGGCCCCAUUGGUACGUAACUGACGCUGAGGCACGAAAGUGUGGGGAGCGAACAGG